rnacentral:rRNA from 1 species
CCUACGGGAGGCAGCAGUAGGGAAUCUUCCACAAUGGGCGCAAGCCUGAUGGAGCAACACCGCGUGAGGGAAGAAGGGUUUCGGCGCGUAAAGCUCUGUUGUUGGAGAAGAACGUGCGUGAGAGUAACUGUUCACGCAGUGACGGUAUCCAACAAGAAAGGCACGGCUAACUACGUGCCAGCAGCUGCGGUAAUACGUAGGUGGCAAGCGUUAUCCGGAUUUAUUGGGCGUAAAGCGAGCGCAGGCGUUCGCUUAGGUCUGAUGUGAAAGCUUUCGGCUUAACCGUAGAAGUGCAACGGAAACCGGGCGACUUGAGUGCAGAAGAGGACAGUGGAACUCCAUGUGUAGCGGUGAAAUGCGUAGAUAUAUGGAAGAACACCAGUGGCGAAGGCAGCUGUCUGGUCUGCAACUGACGCUGAGGCUCGAAAGCGUGGGUAGCGAACAGGAUUAGAUACCCUGGUAGUC